CGGGGGCGGCGCGGGCCGCGCGGUGCUGCGGGCCGGGCUCGGGCCGGGCCGGGGCCCAGCGCAUCCUCUUCCGCCCGCCGGGCCCGCCCCGACAGCAGCUACAAGGCCACAUCACAAGGUACUCCACAUCCCACGGGACCAGGUGUGCCCAAAACCCUCAGAAGGAAGCCGGAAGAAAGGAGUGAUGCCUCGUGCUGGGGGGUGGGGAGGUUGUCCUGUGACCUGAACUGUGUCUGCAAGGAGCACGCUGGAGCUCUAUUUGAAGCUGACUUUUUUCGUCUUCCUAAACUGUGAGGUUCAUCUCUCUGAUGCAUCUGGGAAAGGACCUCUGCUUUUAAGGACUCGUAUGAUUAGACUGGGCACAAGCAUGUAAACCAGGAUCAUCUCCCCAUCUCAGAAUGAAUAUCUUGAAUUGCAGCUGUAAAGUCCCUUUUGCCAUGUUCAAACCUGCUGGGAUGCUUACUCCACCUCUGGAUGAAAUCUGAAACUGAAAUCCUGGAGGAAAUCUGACGUUCCCAGCCUCUCUCUCCAGCCAGGAUUUUAAAUGUCCAGUCCCAUAUAAUAGUCAGAACCUCAAAAGUACAGCUUGUCCCCGCCCCCAGCUCCUGGAGGGGAGGGGCUGGGAUACUGUUUUUCCACCUGGGUUGCUAGCAGUGGUCUCUGCGUGCUCCAGAACUGCAGGAAGAAGCCCCAGAGAAGGUGACAGGCAAGGUUUGCCUGGACUGGGAGGUCCUGGGCUGGCAUCACUGCUCACUGAUCUCAGCAGAUAUUGAAAGCUUAUCACACCAGGCACUUUGCAUGGUCUUUGGAGAUUUCAACAGGGAAGAGCGGACUUCUGCUAUCCUUUUGACUCCUGUGAAAACACCUUCUCUGGCUGGUCUUUUGUUAUUUGUAAUUCCAUCCCCAGUCCUUGGAGAUUAGACCUCUUCCACUGAGGUCUCUUCUCCCCCCAGGCGAUCCAUUGGGAAGAUCAAAGACUCUCCCAGAUGUACACCUGGUCCCCAGAAGCUCCCACCUUGAACUGGCUCUCAGGGAAAGAGUGUCACCGCCAAGGGGUGCUUUAGCCAGGCACCCCCUCCCCACCUUUAGAUUUCUCAGGUGGGAGUUGUUGCACCAGGCCCUGGGGGACUUGUGUUGCCUUCUGAGCUCUCUCGGUAAAGAUCCCUUCACCAGCUGGAGGUAAGAGGAAGCAAGUCCCCUCUCCUCCACGGGGGGGCGAUAUGCACGGGACACUGAAAAGCAUUCUUCACUCGUCUCCGCUGUGCUGCAUCUUUUUUCUCCCUCGAAGUGGUUAUUGAGCUGAUGGACACAGAGCAGUCCCUUGACCCCUCCUUCACAUGUUUUCCCCCUGGAGUUGGGAAUGAGUGGCCUCUCAAGGCUGGACCUGUGACUGAAAUGGAGCCCGUGAGUCCCUUUUGAACAUCUCAACAUGCUUUUAAUGACCCAAAGAUUGAGGGCAAAGCAAGGAUUUCUUUUUCUUCUUUCUUUCUUUCUUUCUUUCUUUCUUUCUUUCUUUCUUUCUUUCUUUCUUUCUUUCUUUCUUUCUUUCUUUCUUUCUUUCUUUCUUUCUUUUUCUUUCUUGCUUUCUUGCUUCCUUUCUUUCUUGCUUUCUUUUCAUCUUUUAAGAGCUUGCUUCAUACUGAAUCUAAAAGGUGAAAUAUUCUCAGCAGAAUUCAAGAGACCCAUGCAAAUCACUGAGCAAUUUCAGGAGACCCAGAAAAUUCCCCCAAAACAGGAGUCACUGAUGCAGCAGCUAAUGCAGGUCUUUACAGCCUGCCCAGAGCAUCAGUGACUGGAAUUCUUCUCCAUUUGGAUGAGUUUUGUCGGGAAUAUGAUUGAUUUCCCCACCUAACCUAAUCAGGAAGGAACCCAGGCACCGUCUCAGGCCAUUUCACACACAUAUAUCACCUCCACGAGUGACCACCCCGUGGGCGGGCACCACUCAGCCCUCCUUUUACCCCCUGGUUCUAUGCCGUGCCAGGCACACGAGAGGAUCUGGGCAAAGCCUGAAUUGAAUUACAGUCGCCUGAUAAAGUGGGGCUAUCCACAGAGACCUGGAAUUUAUUCUUCAAGGAGUUUACUCUUCUCCUUAAAAAAAUUCUUUUUAAUUAGAUUUUAGAUAUAAAAAGAUCAAUCUGCUGCUUUAUUUUAUUACUCUUCUGUUAUAUUAAAUUGUAACCUUUGGUGGCUUAGGCUUGUAAUGAGUGAAGUCUAUAAAACAAAAUAGCAGGCAUGUUAAACCUUUUUCAAAAGUGGGCCCUUAAAGUCCUCCUGCAGGAAGGCCAGGUGUCCUAAUAUACAAAGAAAGAGGACAUCGUGUUUUAUUGUCUACCUGCCUACCUAAUAUCCAUAUUCCCCUUCUUCUACUAAGAAAUCCUUGAUUUUUUACAGUGUGGCAGUGUACACAGUUAUAACACUACAUUUCCAAGCUUCUCUUGCCACUAAAUAUGGCCAUGUGAUUAAAUUCUGGCCAAUGAGAUGUAAGCAGAAAUUGUCAAGUAUUAUAGAAUUUAUGAAAAGGGGGGUAGACAGCUGGCAUGUGCUUUUUUUCAUAUUCUUCCUCCACCUGCUCCUCGCUUCUUGCCUGGAAUGCUGAUAUGAUAGCUGGGGCUCCAGCAACUCUCUUGGCUUGUGAGGCGACAGUGAGACUGGAAGUCACAUGCUAAGAAUGGCAGAAUAAAAAGGUAGGAGGAGUCCAGGUCUCUGAUGACACUGUGGACCUUUGACCUUUUGAUUUUUUUUAUAUGAAAGAGAAAGAAACCUCUAUUUUGUUUAUCUCUUUACUUAUGGCAUCUGUCAUUUAUACAGUUCUUAUUUGUUACAUCUGUUGUAAAGGAUCACUUAAGCACCCAUCAUUUUAUUUUACCCGUUUUGGAAGGAAAUCUCUCUAGAAUACAUUGCAUACUCUCUUCCUUUUUAAAAUCAAGUCUAUAGUGGACAUAGGGUUGCUAGGUAAAAUACAGGAUGCCCAGUCAACUUGAAUUUCAGAUAAGCAACAAAGAGGUUUUUGAUUAAAAGCAUGCCCCCAUUAUUACAUGGGACAUACUUAGACUAAAAAAUAAUUUGUUGUUAUCCGAAAUUAAAAUUAAACUGAGACUCCUGUGUUUUUGUUUGCUGACUCUGCUAAUCCUAACCUAACAGGCUCUUUUCCUGCUGUUACCUACGAUGAGGUGUACGGGGAUGCACUGGGGGCCUAGUGAGGUGUGGAGGGCUCUUAGUCCUUAUGGAAACAGACCAGAUUGCCAUGCUUUUAAUUCUUAUUCUGCUCUUUCUGAUGUUCCCAUCUCUUCUUUGGUUGCCAGUCUAUCAAUCGCCCUGUCUGCUGCUCUCUAAAUGAGCCUGCCUGUCUUAGCCCUUUACCCCGCUGAUGACGGGGGAAUCUGUGGGCAACCACGGUGUUUGAAGCACAUUCCUUGGAGCUGAAAGUCUGGGUCCCACUCCAGGUCCCCCCACUUUCAACUCUAUGGCCUGGGCCAGCUCAUUUGACCUGUCUGAGCUUGGUUCCUGCCUAAUAAUAAGGGGGUAGUCAGAGCCGCCUCCUGGGUUAUGUGAGGCUUAAAUGUGGGAAGUGCUGGGGCAGCACCAGACCUUAGCAAGUA